AUGACACCUACUCUUGAUGUUGAUUGGCACAACAAUGUCUCAUUUGCAACGUGUUUAAUUGAUAAUGUGAUUUAUGUUUGUAAAGUUGGAGAUUAUAGACCUGUAAAAGCUUCUGUGCGGCAUCAGGUGGUUAUCAUGUUUGUGAGUUAAUUGAAGGCAUUGACUAGAACGUUUUGUGUUGGGGGACGAGUUGGGAGUCCCAAGAGGAACUUACCAUGGCAUUGGCUCGCAAGGGCCAUGUCAACGUUCUCUUCGCCCCGCUCAAACUGCACCACAUUUGAGUGCUUUUAGACUUUUGUCAUUAUAGCCGCCUUGAUUUAGAUGAACUAAAGAUUUGAAGAGCUCGACUUUUCAGCUACAAUGGACUGGAGAUAGCUACAGUGAACUGGAGAUAGCUACAGGAGGGUUUA
rnacentral:lncRNA from 1 species